CCUACGGGCGACAGCAGUGGGGAAUAUUCGGCAAUGGACGCAAGUCUGACCCAGCAACGCCGCGUGAAGGAAGAAGGCUUUCGGGUUGUAAACUUCUUUUAUGGGGGAAGAGCAGAAGACGGUACCCCUUGAAUAAGCCACGGCUUAAUACGUGCCAGCAGCCGCGGCAAUCCGGAGGUGGCAAGCGGUGUCCGGAUUUACUGGGUGGAAAGGGCGCGCAGCCGGGAAGACAAGUCCGAUGUGAAAUCCCGCGGCUCAACCGCGGGACUGCAUUUGAAACUGUUUUUCUUGAGUGUCGGAGAGGAGAUCGGAAUUCCUAGUGUAGCGGUGAAAUGCGUAGAUAUUAGGAAGAACACCAGUGGCGAAGGCGGAUUACUGGACGACAACUGACGGUGAGGCGCGAAAGCGUGGGGAGCAAACAGGAUUAGAUACCCGUGUAGUC
rnacentral:rRNA from 1 species